UGUCACUACUGUCCUGAUCUAGU
rnacentral:piRNA from 1 species